UGCCGGAGGUGAGUUUGGUGAAUAAAACACUCCUCGGCGCUUUUUAAAAAAUAUUUGUAAUAGAUUUUUCUAGGAGUGGGCAGAUUAUGAUUAUGUACGAAAUUUUCUUUUUUAGUAACAAUUAGCCUCACAUCUGUCUGAUUUUUUCUAGUGUACAUCCAUUGUUCGACACAUUUGAAAAUUUUAUUUCUCCUUCAAAUGUGUUUUUUUUUUUUUUUUUUUUAGGUUUACAAUUAAUUGAUUUGUUUCAAAUCGUAUUAUAUGAG
rnacentral:lncRNA from 1 species